GUGAUGCCGUGGGUGAAGGUGGUACCACAAUAAUAUAUUGUAUUUCCUACUCAUACACGUAUUGUACGAUGCUGUUGGAGAAGGUCAACCGCAGUGUUCAACUACCAUUUUUCACUUAUACACUUAUUGUGUGACGCUAUUGGCUAAGGGUCGGCUAGAGGCACGUUCUUUAGGAGUGGCCUUGCAGGGCCCAGUACUGCUAAGGGCAGCCAUCAGCCGGCGCCUGCCCUGAGUUGACUGACAUUGGAGGCCAGAGACCAGGUAGCUGCAGCGAGGCAGCAGAGACGGCCACAGUGGAACAGCAGAGGCGGCCGCAGCAGGACAGCAGUGGCGACCAUGGUCACUGAGGGGACCAUGGGAUUGGCCCUGAGAGAUUCAGCCUGGAGUCCCAGUGGCCCAAUCUGCCCCUGCAUAUAAUAAUCUAGUAAAGUCUGUCCCAUCUUCAAUGCACACAUUCCACUCCAAUGUCUUCCACUGCAGUUUUUUACGUAACAAUUCUGGACGAAGGACCGCACUGCUCUGGGAAGGAGUAAGUAUAUACAGUGGGGAAUGGAUGGAACAAAGCAGGGGGAGGGAUUGAAUGAAGAAGCAGAUGGACUGAGAUGACCUGCUGUUGACCCAGAAGAUAUGAUUGGUCCCUUUAAUAAACUUAAAUAAAUAAGAUAUUUAAUAGAGUUUCUAACUUUUUAUAUAAACCUUUAUGCUGUUCGCUUGUUUUAUUUACAGUUAAUUAUAUUUUUUGUAGCAAGGUCUUUUUUUGCUAUAAUAUUCUUUGCAUUAGACAAUUAAAUGCAGUGUUAUAUAGUAAGGGUGCAUGUUGCAUUUCUAUAGAUGUGCUCCCCUUUAUUUGAUACAUAUCUGGAAUAAUAAACAUUCUAUUUCUGUCAUUCCCUAUUCAGCAAG